GCUCAUACCAUACUACCCUAAACUCGUCCAAUCUCAUUGUAUCUCUGAGGCUAAGCAGGCUUGGACAUGAUUAACAUGUGGAUGGGUUACCACUUGAGAAUAUUAAGUGCUGUGUGUA
rnacentral:rRNA from 1 species